AGAUUGCUAAGGCCUGUGCCCUCCUGUAAACACCUGUCACUUCCCCGCUCUGCAGAAAUGCUGGGGCCGAUGAGGUCACGCGCGUGGAAUGUACGGGAGCUUCUCGGAGAAAGGAACCAGAUACAUUUGGGACAAUACUAUCGUCACCCCAGCCGCCUGGGAUUCCGCUUUCUAGCAAACCCAAGGGCCCAGAAGCCAGAAGCUACAAAAUAAGGAAAAAUAAAGGAAGGUGCCCGGCCCCAGAGAAAGCAGGAAGUAGGCCAGGAAAUGGCUGUAAGGUCAGAGAUAACACGAAGCAGGGAAGCUUCGUGGCCCCGGGAGGGUAUGACGGCAGCGGCCGGCCGCCCCACUGUGCACAGACCUCCCAGAAAAUCGAAGGCAAGUUCUCCCUGGUUUUGUGAAGCGGGGCCCUUCUGACUGCUGACUCGGGCAAGGAUGUGCUUAGCUGAGUCGUCCUGUCUCUCCUGGCAUCAGGGCUCCGUGCUGUGAAUGCAAGAGGUGGUCGGAGAAAAUGAUUCUCCUUCCUACGGCUUAAUACAAGGAGGCAGGCGAGGCGCCUCGCGUGUGGGAGGAGUUUCUCACCACGUCUGGGACCCUGGUUAGGGAUCUCGCGAAAUUACCCACUGAAAGUGAUUUUCUUUUCCCUGUAAGUUCUCGAGAAUAAUGGCUUGACAAACUCAGAAUUUCAUGGGCUCUGUAAACCAGUUCUGCCCUUGAACACUUUCUUGUAUACCCGCUGGCAACUCAUGAAUCCUUUCCCAAAAAAGGUAGUCAGUA